AUGGUGACUGAAGGUUCACGCACUCCGUCGCCGGGUCGCCGCCGUGUCUCGGCCUCGCCGGUGGUGCGCCGAGGCCGGAGCCUGAUGUGGCAUGGCUGCCACGAGGUGGUGGUGCAGCAGGAGGUCGUUCACCGGGCCAGCAGCACCGUCGUCUACCCGCCACUGACGGCGACGAACUACUUCGAGUGGUCGCUGAUCAUGAAGGCGAACAUGGAGGCCCAACGCGUGUGGGACGCCAUCGAGGGAGGCAGGAGCUUCAGCCAGGACAGGGCGGCGCUUGCGGCAAUUCUGCGAGCCGUGCCGGAGGAGAUGCACUCCACGCUUGCCGUGAAGGCGACCGCAAAGGAGGCAUGGGAUGCCAUCAAGAUCAUGCCGCUCGGCGAUGCCCGCGUCCGUGAGGCCAAGGCGCAGACUCUCCUCAAGGAGUUUGAUGCCGUCCGCAUGAGGAGCGGCGAGACCCUCGAUGAGCUCGCCAUGCGCAUGAACGGGAUCACCAACAAGCUGCGCACGCUCGGCGAGAACCUCGACGUGGUGAAGGUCGUGAAGAAGCUUCUCCGCAUCGUGCCAUCCAAGUAUACCCAGGUAGCUAUUGCCAUUGAACAGCUUCUUGAUCUUAAAACCAUGUCCAUGGAAGAGCUUGUGGGAAGCAGGCUCAAAACGGCGGAAGACCGGAGCGACUUGGACGAGGGCGCCAACAACUAUGACCAAGGUGGUGGGAGUCGCCUGCUCCUCACGGAGGAGGAGUGGCUUGCUCGCCACCGCAGCGGCGCCGGCAAGAAGAAGGGCAACUUCGACAUACGCAAGGUGCGUUGCUACAACUGUCAAGAGUACGGACACUACUCCAAGGACUGCACCAAGCCAAGGAAACAGCGGGCGCUUCUUGCUGCCGCGACGGCCGACGACGUGCCGGGGCUGCUGUGA
rnacentral:rRNA from 1 species